rnacentral:rRNA from 1 species
GGAUAACCUACCCUUAGGACUGGGAUAACCUUGGGAAACUGAGGCUAAUACCGGAUAGGCAAUUUUUCCUGUAAUGGUUUUUUGUUUAAAUGUUUUUUCGCCUAAGGAUGGGUCUGCGGCCGAUUAGGUAGUUGGUUAGGUAAUGGCUUACCAAGCCGUUGAUCGGUACGGGUUGUGAGAGCAAGAGCCCGGAGAUGGAACCUGAGACAAGGUUCCAGGCCCUACGGGGUGCAGCAGGCGCGAAACCUCCGCAAUGUGAGAAAUCGCGACGGGGGGAUCCCAAGUGCCAUUCUUAACGGGAUGGCUUUUCAUUAGUGUAAAGAGCUUUUGGAAUAAGAGCUGGGCAAGACCGGUGCCAGCCGCCGCGGUAACACCGGCAGCUCUAGUGGUAGCAAUUUUUAUUGGGCCUAAAGCGUCCGUAGCCGGUUUAAUAAGUCUCUGGUGAAAUCCUGUAGCUUAACUGUGGGAAUUGCUGGAGAUACUAUUAGACUUGAGACCGGGAGAGGUUGGAGGUACUCCCAGGGUAGAGGUGAAAUUCUGUAAUCCUGGGAGGACCGCCUGUUGCGAAGGCGUCUAACUGGAACGGUUCUGACGGUGAGGGACGAAAGUUAGGGGCGCGAACCGGAUUAGAUACCCGGGUAGUCCUAACUGUAAACGAUGCGGACUUGGUGUUGGGGUGGCUUUGAGCUGCUCCAGUGC